CGGUUCCUACGGGACGCAGCAGUAGGGAAUCUUCCACAAUGGACGAAAGUCUGAUGGAGCAACGCCGCGUGAGUGAAGAAGGGUUUCGGCUCGUAAAGCUCUGUUGGUAGUGAAGAAAGAUAGAGGUAGUAACUGGCCUUUAUUUGACGGUAAUUACUUAGAAAGUCACGGCUAACUACGUGCCAGCAGCCGCGGUAAUACGUAGGUGGCAAGCGUUGUCCGGAUUUAUUGGGGGUAAAGGGUGCGUAGACGGAAGAACAAGUUGGUUGUGAAAUCCCUCGGCUCAACUGAGGAACUGCAACCAA
rnacentral:rRNA from 1 species